rnacentral:rRNA from 2 species
UUAAGCGACUAAGCGUACACGGUGGAUGCCCUGGCAGUCAGAGGCGAUGAAGGACGUGCUAAUCUGCGAUAAGCGUCGGUAAGGUGAUAUGAACCGUUAUAACCGGCGAUUUCCGAAUGGGGAAACCCAGUGUGUUUCGACACACUAUCAUUAACUGAAUCCAUAGGUUAAUGAGGCGAACCGGGGGAACUGAAACAUCUAAGUACCCCGAGGAAAAGAAAUCAACCGAGAUUCCCCCAGUAGCGGCGAGCGAACGGGGAGGAGCCCAGAGCCUGAAUCAGUGUGUGUGUUAGUGGAAGCGUCUGGAAAGGCACGCGAUACAGGGUGACAGCCCCGUACACAAAAAUGCACAUGCUGUGAGCUCGAUGAGUAGGGCGGGACACGUGGUAUCCUGUCUGAAUAUGGGGGGACCAUCCUCCAAGGCUAAAUACUCCUGACUGACCGAUAGUGAACCAGUACCGUGAGGGAAAGGCGAAAAGAACCCCGGCGAGGGGAGUGAAAAAGAACCUGAAACCGUGUACGUACAAGCAGUGGGAGCCUCUUUUAUGGGGUGACUGCGUACCUUUUGUAUAAUGGGUCAGCGACUUAUAUUCUGUAGCAAGGUUAACCGAAUAGGGGAGCCGAAGGGAAACCGAGUCUUAACUGGGCGUUAAGUUGCAGGGUAUAGACCCGAAACCCGGUGAUCUAGCCAUGGGCAGGUUGAAGGUUGGGUAACACUAACUGGAGGACCGAACCGACUAAUGUUGAAAAAUUAGCGGAUGACUUGUGGCUGGGGGUGAAAGGCCAAUCAAACCGGGAGAUAGCUGGUUCUCCCCGAAAGCUAUUUAGGUAGCGCCUCGUGAAUUCAUCUCCGGGGGUAGAGCACUGUUUCGGCAAGGGGGUCAUCCCGACUUACCAACCCGAUGCAAACUGCGAAUACCGGAGAAUGUUAUCACGGGAGACACACGGCGGGUGCUAACGUCCGUCGUGAAGAGGGAAACAACCCAGACCGCCAGCUAAGGUCCCAAAGUCAUGGUUAAGUGGGAAACGAUGUGGGAAGGCCCAGACAGCCAGGAUGUUGGCUUAGAAGCAGCCAUCAUUUAAAGAAAGCGUAAUAGCUCACUGGUCGAGUCGGCCUGCGCGGAAGAUGUAACGGGGCUAAACCAUGCACCGAAGCUGCGGCAGCGACGCUUAUGCGUUGUUGGGUAGGGGAGCGUUCUGUAAGCCUGUGAAGGUGUGCUGUGAGGCAUGCUGGAGGUAUCAGAAGUGCGAAUGCUGACAUAAGUAACGAUAAAGCGGGUGAAAAGCCCGCUCGCCGGAAGACCAAGGGUUCCUGUCCAACGUUAAUCGGGGCAGGGUGAGUCGACCCCUAAGGCGAGGCCGAAAGGCGUAGUCGAUGGGAAACAGGUUAAUAUUCCUGUACUUGGUGUUACUGCGAAGGGGGGACGGAGAAGGCUAUGUUGGCCGGGCGACGGUUGUCCCGGUUUAAGCGUGUAGGCUGGUUUUCCAGGCAAAUCCGGAAAAUCAAGGCUGAGGCGUGAUGACGAGGCACUACGGUGCUGAAGCAACAAAUGCCCUGCUUCCAGGAAAAGCCUCUAAGCAUCAGGUAACAUCAAAUCGUACCCCAAACCGACACAGGUGGUCAGGUAGAGAAUACCAAGGCGCUUGAGAGAACUCGGGUGAAGGAACUAGGCAAAAUGGUGCCGUAACUUCGGGAGAAGGCACGCUGAUAUGUAGGUGAAGCGACUUGCUCGUGGAGCUGAAAUCAGUCGAAGAUACCAGCUGGCUGCAACUGUUUAUUAAAAACACAGCACUGUGCAAACACGAAAGUGGACGUAUACGGUGUGACGCCUGCCCGGUGCCGGAAGGUUAAUUGAUGGGGUUAGCGCAAGCGAAGCUCUUGAUCGAAGCCCCGGUAAACGGCGGCCGUAACUAUAACGGUCCUAAGGUAGCGAAAUUCCUUGUCGGGUAAGUUCCGACCUGCACGAAUGGCGUAAUGAUGGCCAGGCUGUCUCCACCCGAGACUCAGUGAAAUUGAACUCGCUGUGAAGAUGCAGUGUACCCGCGGCAAGACGGAAAGACCCCGUGAACCUUUACUAUAGCUUGACACUGAACAUUGAGCCUUGAUGUGUAGGAUAGGUGGGAGGCUUAGAAGUGUGGACGCCAGUCUGCAUGGAGCCGACCUUGAAAUACCACCCUUUAAUGUUUGAUGUUCUAACGUUGACCCGUAAUCCGGGUUGCGGACAGUGUCUGGUGGGUAGUUUGACUGGGGCGGUCUCCUCCUAAAGAGUAACGGAGGAGCACGAAGGUUGGCUAAUCCUGGUCGGACAUCAGGAGGUUAGUGCAAUGGCAUAAGCCAGCUUGACUGCGAGCGUGACGGCGCGAGCAGGUGCGAAAGCAGGUCAUAGUGAUCCGGUGGUUCUGAAUGGAAGGGCCAUCGCUCAACGGAUAAAAGGUACUCCGGGGAUAACAGGCUGAUACCGCCCAAGAGUUCAUAUCGACGGCGGUGUUUGGCACCUCGAUGUCGGCUCAUCACAUCCUGGGGCUGAAGUAGGUCCCAAGGGUAUGGCUGUUCGCCAUUUAAAGUGGUACGCGAGCUGGGUUUAGAACGUCGUGAGACAGUUCGGUCCCUAUCUGCCGUGGGCGCUGGAGAACUGAGGGGGGCUGCUCCUAGUACGAGAGGACCGGAGUGGACGCAUCACUGGUGUUCGGGUUGUCAUGCCAAUGGCACUGCCCGGUAGCUAAAUGCGGAAGAGAUAAGUGCUGAAAGCAUCUAAGCACGAAACUUGCCCCGAGAUGAGUUCUCCCUGACUCCUUGAGAGUCCUGAAGGAACGUUGAAGACGACGACGUUGAUAGGCCGGGUGUGUAAGCGCAGCGAUGCGUUGAGCUAACCGGUACUAAUGAACCGUGAGGCUUAACCUU